rnacentral:rRNA from 1 species
CCUACGGGUGGCAGCAGUGAGGAAUAUUGGUCAAUGGCCGAGAGGCUGAAGCAGCGAAGUCGCGUGAGGGAAGAAUGUCCUAUGGAUUGUAAACCUCUUUUGUCGGGGAGCAAAGUCACCCACGUGUGGGUGUUGGAGAGUACCUGAAGAAAAAGCAUCGGCUAACUCCGUGCCAGCAGCCGCGGUAAUACGGAGGAUGCGAGGGUUAUCCGGAUUUAUUGGGUUUAAAGGGUGCGUAGGGGGGUUAGCAAGUCAGUGGUAAAAUCGUGGAGCUCAACUCCAUCCAGCCGUUGAAACUGAGGAACUGGAGUGUGCGAGAAGUAUGCGGAAUGCGUGGUGUAGCGGUGAAAUGCAUAGAUAUCACGCAGAACUCCGGUUGCGAAGGCAGCAAACCGGCGCCCGACUGACGCUGAAGCACGAAAGCGUGGGUAUCGAACAGGAUUAGAUACCCGGGUAGUC